rnacentral:tRNA from 1 species
GUUAAUAUAGCUUAAAAAGAGCUUAGCACUGAAGAUGCUAGGGUGUUUUGUUAUGAACUAUUAACA